rnacentral:rRNA from 1 species
AUCCCGAUGACAAAGUAUGUAAUGUACUCUCUCUUCGGAGCAUCGGUGACAGGUGGUGCAUGGUUGUCGUCAGCUCGUGUCGUGAGAUGUUGGGUUAAGUCCCGCAACGAGCGCAACCCUUACCUUUAGUAGCCAGCACGUCAUGGUGGGAACUCUAGAGGGACUGCCCGGGAUAACCGGGAGGAAGGUGGGGAUGACGUCAAAUCAUCAUGCCCCUUAUGACCAGGGCUACACACGUGCUACAAUGGCGUAAACAAAGUGAAGCGAACUCGCGAGGGUAAGCAAAUCACAAAAAUAACGUCUCAGUUCGGAUUGUAGUCUGCAACUCGACUACAUGAAGCUGGAAUCGCUAGUAAUCGCAGAUCGAAAUGCUUCGGU